GGGGGGGGGAGGGGGCCGUGGCCGUGCAGGCCGACCCCGCCCUGGCCCAGGCUGGAGGUCAGUUCUACGUGAUGAUGACCCCCCAGGACGUGCUGCAGGCGGGGGGGGCCCAGCGCAGCCUCGCCCCCCACGGGCACCCCUACUCGCCGAAGCUCGAGGGGCCGCGGGUGCCGCGGGACGAGCGACGGCGGGCGCAGCACAACGAGGGUGAGGGGGGGACACGGGGUCACCCCUGGGUCACCUGGGGGGGGGGUCUCGGCGUCACCUG